AACGAACGCUGGCGGCAGGCCUAACACAUGCAAGUCGAAGGAGAAGCUUCUUUCGGGAAGUGGACACUGGCGCACGGGUGAGUAACGCGUGGGAAUCUACCCCGGGGUGGGGAAUAACUGCUGGAAACGGCAGCUAAUACCGCAUACGCCGUAUUGGGAAAGCUUUAGCGCCCUGGGAUGAGCCCGCGUUAGAUUAGCUAGUUGGUGGGGUAACGGCCUACCAAGGCGACGAUCUAUAGCUGGUCUGAGAGGAUGAUCAGCCACACUGGGACUGAGACACGGCCCAGACUCCUACGGGAGGCAGCAGUGGGGAAUAUUGGACAAUGGGGGCAACCCUGAUCCAGCCAUGCCGCGUGCGUGAAGAAGGCCUUAGGGUUGUAAAGCGCUUUCACUGGUGAAGAUGAUGACGGUAGCCAGAGAAGAAGCCCCGGCUAACUCCGUGCCAGCAGCCGCGGUAAUACGGAGGGGGCAAGCGUUGUUCGGAAUUACUGGGCGUAAAGGGCGCGUAGGCGGAACAUUAAGUUAGGGGUGAAAGGCCUGGGCUCAACCUGGGAACGGCCUCUAAGACUGAUGAUC
rnacentral:rRNA from 1 species